UAUCAAUGUAUAAUGCACACCAACUUGUUAAAUGACCAUUUACCACGUGAAUACAACUGCACGGAGUAUUUGGACGUGAUAAGACUUGAAGAACCUUGUUAGCGCCGCGUACGACAAAAGGGCUCCAGAACUCCUGUAUGUCCUUGGGAAGGUCACCAUCCCGUCCUUGCUGUCUCAUGAAGUCGGAUUGCCACCUACGAACUUUGGCUGAAGGCGGGGUCAGCGAGUUCGCUGAAUCAUGACGUCACCACUGAAGAAUCCAUGACGAUCAUGUGCAGUGACGGGACGGACCAAAUCACCAGCAGUUACAAGGUGGACAUUUCGGACGCGGUAUGUGUAGAUUGAAGCCGAGCUCUGGGAAAACGGGGCGUAUGCAAGUUCGUAAAGUGUCGUCUGAGAUUAGCCUGUGCUGUCCGCUUGUACGGCAUUUUUCUUUUUAAAAAGUCUCCUGCUAUCAACAAACCCUGUUUAAGGGGAAAGUGUUGUCCCUGAUCAGCCACUGUAGACAAGACCGAUAAAUCUGAGACGACACUUAACGCACAUGCAUUAAGCCCCAUUUUACCCCAGGGCGGCUCAUUUCUUUAUCGAAUUCACCGUUAUUCUCUCCUACAUGAGCACCGCAAUCGGAAGACUGCAUGGACGCAGUGUUUCAGAGUAGCUCGGUGUGUCGGUCCGUUGAUGUGUCCGGAAAGCAGCGUCCAAUAUAUCCCUAAGCUAUGGACGGUUGCAUUAAGUCAAAGCAAUGACAUAUA